CGUUGAUGCUUUUUCCUUUCGUUUUCCAGGUCCCGUGUGCCUGGUCUUCGUCACGUCUGCCGCCUCCCCUGAGACUCGCCCGAGAAUGCACGCCUUCGGGGGGGGAGGUUCUGUCAUGACCUGCUCGUCCGAUCCUCCUGUGUGCCACGCCCCCCCCAUUACCUCGUGUUCAUUCCCGAUUGUGAUCACCUGCUGCCUGUUAUUUUCAGCUUGUCCUGUGUAUUUAGUCUGCGUCAGAAUCCGUUUUCCCCAGAUCCGUCACUGAUGUUAGUUCGUCGCCGUCUCCCCUGUUUCCCCUAACAAAACCCCGUAUCCUGCAUCCUCGUCUGCCAGCCUCAUCCUUCCCCGGCGUCCUGCCUGUUCGCCGACCAGCGAUCACUACAAGGACGUCCUAUGUCACAUAAGACAGUGUGUCUGUGUUACGAUCCAGUCUAGGGUUGGAGCGUAGCAGAAAGGACAUGGAAUAGGGAAAGGGGAAAACAGGACAACCAGAGGCGGAGGAAAGGGAACACGGGACACAAAGGGAUCUUUUUUUUAUAUAGUUUUUGUUAUAUUUUUUACACAGAUACUUCACAACAAGAGGUGCAAGAGAUUUCGGGGGUGACACGGGCCAAUAUAACAAACAAAACACCGCUACCGAACGAAACCCAAGCUAAGCUAGUCCUACGUGAAAACAAAACACAAACAAAACAACAAUACAGAAAACACACAAUCCAAGACGACAGUGUCCGAGUGGGCGAGCAAAAGAAUGGUCAACGAACAGGCGGGAGAUGAAGACCAAAGACAACAAUUAAAGCCGAGGCGAAGGUACAGACAAAGGGCGAGGCGAAAAUCUGAAACCAAAACCCAAAGAAUAGUCAUACACAAGUGAUCAAAUCAACAACAAUCCAACGAUAAAUCCAAGCAAUGAGCAAAACUUUCGAGGUGUGCGAGCUGUGGCCUUUUCUAGAAACAGAAAGUAGCGCCGAAGAUGGGGCGUGGCCAAGUCUGGGAGGCGGAGCCAAAGGGAGCAACCAGCAAAUGGUGACGAGGGCGAGAAGACCGGAGAAUCUGCCAGGACCUCCUGCAAACAUUUACGGCACGUAACACUUACAGCCCGUAUCACUUACGCUUUUGCACGUACAGUAACACUUACGGCACGUAACAUUACGGAAGGAUCUUCGUUCAUUUAAACUUUCUGAGAACCGCUGUGCCUAUAAUCCAUUGUAUCUUACAGGAUGUCUGUUGCAGACAAUCACCACAAGCCAAGCUUACUUAAAUUUUGAGGCCCUAAGAGAGGUCUCCAUGAUGUGGGAAAUAGUUAGCCAUCCAGGACUUAAAAACCUGCCCAGGAUGUGCUCAUGUGAACAAUCGCCCUUAUUAAUUAAUAGUAUAUUCUUCCUCUGUUCUACUGAAUAAAUAUAGUCAUCGCAUGGGAUUGGAUUGGUUAUGGACAGGGAAUUACCAUUGUAGGUUAUAUGUGGGUUCAAUGAACUGCAGAUACUACUGCUGACAUGUCUUAUGUGAGGAUUUCAGGCUUAUUCAAAAUGACAGAAUUGUAUAAAAAUGCCAGAAUGGGAAUAUUUCUAAAUACUAUUAUACGGUCUUUGGAUGUAUUGAGCUAAUACUUCUCAUUGUACCAAUCAUUUAUUUCUUAAAUUAUUCAGACUUUUUAAAAUUGAAUCUGUCCAUCAUGCUGAAUUAAUUAUGAACUGAAAUUUUUAGAAGGAAAUGGGGUGUAAUUUCAAACAUAUAUUGUAGCCACAGAAUGUAUUACUUAAAUGAUUCACUUAAGUAGGUUUUAACAUUAUCUGAGCAAUACAUACAAUAUGUAUAAAAGAAGUAUAUUAUUAGAUUUUUCAAAGAGCAGUAAGGAUUAUGCUGAGCUAUAACUGAAUGACAUCUGAAAUAUUUGGUGAAUUGCAGUUAAUUUGCAUUAAAGAAAUUUUAUAUAAUCAUUCUGAACAAAUAUGUUUACUUACAGGGGGUGGCAUGGUGGUGCAGUGGUUAUCACUGUUGCCUCACACCUCUGGGACCUGAGUUCGAGUCUCCGCCUGGGUCACAUGUGUGUGGAGUUUGCAUGUUCUCCCCAUGUCGUCGUGGGGUUUCCUCCGGGUACUCCGGUUUCCCCCCACAGUCCAAAAACAUGCUGAGGCUAAUUGGAGUUGCUAAAUUGCCCAUAGGUGAGCAUGUGUGAGUGAAUGGUGUGUGAGUGUGCCCUGCGAUGGGCUGGCCCCCCAUCCUGGGUUGUUCCCUGCCUCGUGCCCAUUGCUUCCAGGAUAGGCUCCGGACCCCCCGCAACCCAGUAGGGCACAGACUGACCAUCGGGAGGAGCAGCUGAUUUUCUGCUGGCCUGGCCUGCCAAUCAGAGAGGACCUUGAAAUAAUCAGAUGGUGAAACAAGCUAGAUAGAUGUUUUAGUGCAAAAUGCCCACACAAUAUGGUCUCACCCCAGGUCUCUCAGUAUGUGUUAUGAUCUGCCUGCCAUGAUCCCACAGUGCAAUAAGACCCAUGUAUCAAUAUUGGACUGACAUCAUGUAAAGAUAAAUAAACCACCUUGAAUAUUUUGUUUGAGUAAAUAGCUAAUCUGCAUGGCUUUGGUGAAGUGAAAUAAAACAAAAGGCAAGGGAGAGAGAGAGGAAAAGACGAGCCCUCAAAGAGAAAGCUGAAAAAUGUUCUAAAUGACUGAUUUUCAGCAAAUUACAACAAGGGGUCAGGUAAUGUUAGCAAACAUGCCGCUAAUCACAGAUGCUUGCAGCUAGAGUGGCCAGAUGUCCCCUUCAGGCCAAACAGUCUGGGUUUUCAGCUUCAUGUCCUCUGUCCAGUGCAAGGUCUGGGCAGAUGCUUGUAUAUCAGCUUGGGGAUCUUCGGCUCAAAACAGUCUGUGUUCCAACACAUCAUACGCUACACCCAAUAUACUUAAAAUUAAAAUUAAUUUGAGUUAAACUUUUGAAUAAAUGUAAAUUGUACUGGAAUAUUUACUUAUAUCCUUAUUGUGUCAAGUGAUUUUUUUUAGGGCCCCUGAAUUUGUCAUGCCUCUUCAACCCCCUUGGCUCAGUGUGUUCAAGUAAGAUGGGCCCUAUGUCAAUAAGUUUGUGUGGAAUUUCUACUUUAACUUGAGGAGUUUUGUGAAAUUACCAGUACCAAGACAUUAAAUUAUUGCUUUAAUUUUUGCCAAGUAUUACUCUAUAAAACUUUUAAAAUGUUAAAAGUUGCAUAUGCCCCAUUUGAUUGGAGAUUAAAUUUUAAGUGAAAUUAAAAACAGAAGACAAACUUCCUACAUAUAUGAAGCUCAUGAAAGUUCCAUUACGUUCUGUUUUAUCUUUUCAUUGUAAGAAUGUGAUUUAUUUCCCUGAGGUUUUGACCAACCUUUGAAGUUUACAUUUCCCAUCAUGCCAUUACUAUACUGCAACAGGAAUGCGCCAACCAGGAAUUGAAUCUUCAUCCUAAAGAACUAUGAGAUGUAUCAAAUACUGUCAUAGCAUGUGAUUAACUGAAUAAACUUCCACGUCUAUUCUAUGUGUCAUCAUAACCUUAUAAAAGACUCAUAGCCUUACAUUACUUAUUUCGCCUACAGCCAAUAACAGGAUUUGCUGUAAUCCUCUCUUAACUGUUGUGGCCAGAUUCACUUCAUGUCAGGUCCAGUAUUACCAAACACAA